rnacentral:rRNA from 1 species
UAGGGAAUCUUCCGCAAUGGGCGAAAGCCUGACGGAGCAACGCCGCGUGAGUGAUGAAGGUCUUCGGGUUGUAAACUCCUUUCGCUAGGGACGAAGCUUUUUGUGACGGUACCUAGAUAAGAAGCACCGGCUAACUACGUGCCAGCAGCCGCGGUAAUACGUAGGGUGCGAGCGUUGUCCGGAAUUACUGGGCGUAAAGGGCUCGUAGGUGGUUUGUCGCGUCGUCUGUGAAAUUCCGGGGCUUAACUCCGGGCGUGCAGGCGAUACGGGCAUAACUUGAGUACUGUAGGGGUAACUGGAAUUCCUGGUGUAGCGGUGAAAUGCGCAGAUAUCAGGAGGAACACCGAUGGCGAAGGCAGGUUACUGGGCAGUUACUGACGCUGAGGAGCGAAAGCAUGGGUAGCGAACAGG